GUACCUGGUGGCGAGCGGCGGACGGGUGAGUAAUGCCUAGGAAUCUGCCUGGUAGUGGGGGAUAACGCUCGGAAACGGACGCUAAUACCGCAUACGUCCUACGGGAGAAAGCAGGGGACCUUCGGGCCUUGCGCUAUCAGAUGAGCCUAGGUCGGAUUAGCUAGUUGGUGAGGUAAUGGCUCACCAAGGCGACGAUCCGUAACUGGUCUGAGAGGAUGAUCAGUCACACUGGAACUGAGACACGGUCCAGACUCCUACGGGAGGCAGCAGUGGGGAAUAUUGGACAAUGGGCGAAAGCCUGAUCCAGCCAUGCCGCGUGUGUGAAGAAGGUCUUCGGAUUGUAAAGCACUUUAAGUUGGGAGGAAGGGCAGUUACCUAAUACGUAUCUGUUUUGACGUUACCGACAGAAUAAGCACCGGCUAACUCUGUGCCAGCAGCCGCGGUAAUACAGAGGGUGCAAGCGUUAAUCGGAAUUACUGGGCGUAAAGCGCGCGUAGGUGGUUCGUUAAGUUGGAUGUGAAAUCCCCGGGCUCAACCUGGGAACUGCAUUCAAAACUGUCGAGCUAGAGUAUGGUAGAGGGUGGUGGAAUUUCCUGUGUAGCGGUGAAAUGCGUAGAUAUAGGAAGGAACACCAGUGGCGAAGGCGACCACCUGGACUGAUACUGACACUGAGGUGCGAAAG
rnacentral:rRNA from 1 species